CCUACGGGAGGCAGCAGUGGGGAAUAUUGCGCAAUGGGCGAAAGCCUGACGCAGCAACGCCGCGUGAGUGAUGAAGGUCUUCGGAUCGUAAAGCUCUGUCGGCAGGGAAGAAAACUUGGUGACCUAAUACGUCAUCAGGCUGACGGUACCUGCAAAGGAAGCACCGGCUAACUCUGUGCCAGCAGCCGCGGUAAU
rnacentral:rRNA from 1 species